GACAGAGGUCUCGAGCGUUAGGCGGAAUCACUGGGCUUAAAGCGUGUGUAGGCGGACUUCUAAGUGCCUUGUGAAAUCCCACGGCUCAACCGUGGAACUGCUUGGCAUACUGGUUGUCUUGGGCCAUCUAGGGGCUACUGGAACAAACGGUGGAGCGGUGAAAUGCGUAGAUAUCGUUUGGAACGCCAAUGGUGAAAACAAGUAGCUGGGGAUGUGCCGACGCUGAGACACGAAAGCCAGGGGAGCGAACGGG
rnacentral:rRNA from 1 species